rnacentral:rRNA from 1 species
GAUGAACGCUGGCGGCGUGCCUAAUACAUGCAAGUCGAGCGAACAGAUGAGGAGCUUGCUCCUCUGACGUUAGCGGCGGACGGGUGAGUAACACGUGGAUCACCUACCUAUAAGACUGGGAUAACUUCGGGAAACCGGAGCUAAUACCGGAUAAUAUCUUGAACCGCAUGGUUCAAUAGUGAAAGACGGUUUUGCUGUCACUUAUAGAUGGAUCCGCGCUGCAUUAGCUAGUUGGUAAGGUAACGGCUUACCAAGGCAACGAUGCGUAGCCGACCUGAGAGGGGGAUCGGCCACACUGGAACUGAGACACGGUCCAGACUCCUACGGGAGGCAGCAGUAGGGAAUCUUCCGCAAUGGGCGAAAGCCUGACGGAGCAACGCCGCGUGAGUGAUGAAGGUCUUCGGAUCGUAAAACUCUGUUAUUAGGGAAGAACAAAUGUGUAAGUAACUAUGCACGUCUUGACGGUACCUAAUCAGAAAGCCACGGCUAACUACGUG